rnacentral:rRNA from 1 species
AGAGUUUGAUCCUGGCUCAGGAUGAACGCUAGCGGCAGGCUUAACACAUGCAAGUCGAGGGGCAGCGGGGAGGAAGCUUGCUUUCUCCGCCGGCGACCGGCGCACGGGUGAGUAACACGUAUGCAACCUGCCCCUGUCAGGGGGACAACCCGCCGAAAGGCGGGCUAAACCCGCGUACAUGCCACCGGGGCAUCCCGGAGGCAGGAAAGGCUUCGGCCGGACAGGGAUGGGCAUGCGGCGCAUUAGGCAGUAGGCGGGGUAACGGCCCACCUAACCGACGAUGCGUAGGGGUUCUGAGAGGAAGGUCCCCCACACUGGUACUGAGACACGGACCAGACUCCUACGGGAGGCAGCAGUGAGGAAUAUUGGUCAAUGGUCGGGAGACUGAACCAGCCAAGCCGCGUGAGGGAGGAAGGUACAGAGUAUCGUAAACCUCUUUUGUCAGGGAACAAAGGCGGGGACGUGUCCCCGGAUGAGUGUACCUGAAGAAAAAGCAUCGGCUAACUCCGUGCCAGCAGCCGCGGUAAUACGGAGGAUGCGAGCGUUAUCCGGAUUUAUUGGGUUUAAAGGGUGCGCAGGCGGUCUGUUAAGUCAGCGGUCAAAGCCCGGGGCUCAACCCCGGCCCGCCGUUGAAACUGGCAGUCUCGAGUUGGAGAGAAGUAUGCGGAAUGCGCGGUGUAGCGGUGAAAUGCAUAGAUAUCGCGCAGAACUCCGAUUGCGAAGGCAGCAUGCCGGCUCCACACUGACGCUGAGGCACGAAAGCGUGGGUAUCGAACAGGAUUAGAUACCCUGGUAGUCCACGCAGUAAACGAUGAAUGCUGGCUGUCCGGGGGGACUGACCCCUGGGUGGCGAAGCGAAAGCGAUAAGCAUUCCACCUGGGGAGUACGCCGGCAACGGUGAAACUCAAAGGAAUUGACGGGGGCCCGCACAAGCGGAGGAACAUGUGGUUUAAUUCGAUGAUACGCGAGGAACCUUACCCGGGCUCAAACGGGGAGUGGCGCAGGCAGAGACGCCUGUUUCCCACGGGACACUCCCCGAGGUGCUGCAUGGUUGUCGUCAGCUCGUGCCGUGAGGUGUCGGCUUAAGUGCCAUAACGAGCGCAACCCCCGCGUGCAGUUGCUAACAGUCAACGCUGAGGACUCUGCACGGACUGCCGGCGCAAGCCGCGAGGAAGGCGGGGAUGACGUCAAAUCAGCACGGCCCUUACGUCCGGGGCGACACACGUGUUACAAUGGGUGGUACAGCGGGAAGCCAGGCGGCGACGCCGAGCGGAACCCGAAAUCCACUCUCAGUUCGGAUCGGAGUCUGCAACCCGACUCCGUGAAGCUGGAUUCGCUAGUAAUCGCGCAUCAGCCAUGGCGCGGUGAAUACGUUCCCGGGCCUUGUACACACCGCCCGUCA